rnacentral:rRNA from 1 species
UACGGGGGGAGCAAGCGUUGUUCGGAUUUACUGGGCGUAAAGGGCGCGUAGGCGGUCAGCACAAGUCAGUUGUGAAAUCUCUGAGCUUAACUCAGAACGGCCAAGUGAUACUGCAGUGCUAGAGUGUGGAAGGGGCAAUCGGAAUUCUUGGUGUAGCGGUGAAAUGCGUAGAUAUCAAGAGGAACACCUGAGGUGAAGACGGGUUGCUGGGCCAACACUGACGCUGAGGCGCGAAAGCCAGGGGAGCAAACGGG